GAUCAAGCACCUUAAAAUCAGACAUCUUGAACCUCAUAACAUCUCCUCCUCCUCCUCCUCCUCCCCCUCCCUCCUCCGGGUCCUCCUCAAUCACACAUCUCCUUCCAUCGCCUUCCGAUUCCAACGGAGCCGUGGCCUUACUCGACGACGAACACCUCACCACUGUCCCUACUUCUCUCCUAGAGCAAAUACUUCUCACACCGAUGAUACUACCAUUACCACGUCGUUUAAUCAAUUUCUUCGUCGACAAAUUAUCAGAAAAAGAACAGAAUCCGACUCCAUAUAUUGCCGCCGUCGCCGCCAUCAAUCGAUCAAUCCGUUACAACUCUCAGAAUUUUUUUGAUCCAGAGAGGAGUUAGUUAGCAGAAGGAAGGAGAGGAAAGUGUGAAGAAAUAGAGAAGAGAGUGUGAGAGUUGCGUGAAGGAGUACAGAGCCCUGGGCUUGGCUCGUGUCAAUGUCUGUUUUUCCAAAUAUCUCCGGCAUUUACCUCCAGUUAUUUUCUGUGUUUUGCGUUCCGUGCACACUCCUAUCUCCGCCACGUCACUUUUCG
rnacentral:lncRNA from 1 species